rnacentral:rRNA from 1 species
GACGAACGCUGGCGGCGUGCUUAACACAUGCAAGUCGAACGGAAAGGCCCUGCUUUUGUGGGGUGCUCGAGUGGCGAACGGGUGAGUAACACGUGAGUAACCUGCCCUUGACUUUGGGAUAACUUCAGGAAACUGGGGCUAAUACCGGAUAGGAGCUCCUGCUGCAUGGUGGGGGUUGGAAAGUUUCGGCGGUUGGGGAUGGACUCGCGGCUUAUCAGCUUGUUGGUGGGGUAGUGGCUUACCAAGGCUUUGACGGGUAGCCGGCCUGAGAGGGUGACCGGCCACAUUGGGACUGAGAUACGGCCCAGACUCCUAUGGGAGGCAGCAGUGGGGAAUAUUGCACAAUGGGCGGAAGCCUGAUGUAGCAACGCCGCGUGCGGGAUGACGGCCUUCGGGUUGUAAACCGCUUUCGCCUGUGACGAAGCGUGAGUGACGGUAAUGGGUAAAGAAGCACCGGCUAACUACGUG